AUUGAACGCUGGCGGCAGGCCUAACACAUGCAAGUCGAGCGAGCGGCGUACGGGUGUGUAAUGUAUGGGUAUCUGCCCGAUAGUUGGGGAUAACUACUGGAAACGUUGGCUAAUCCCGCAUACUAUCGGAUGAUCCCAUAUGGGAUUAGCUAGUCGGUGGGGUAAAGGCUCACCUAGGCGACGAUCUCUAGCUGGUCUGAGAGGAUGAUAAGGCAAAAUGGGACUGAGAUACGGCCCAGAAUCCUACGGGAGGCAGCAGUGGGGAAUGUUGCGAAAUGGGCGCAAGAAUGAAGCAGCGAUGCAGCGUGUAUGAAGAAGGCCUUAGGGUUGUAAAGUACUUUCAGCGGGGAGGCGUUACCCGCAGAAGAAGCACCGGCUAACUCCGUGCCAGCAGCCGCGGUAAUUC
rnacentral:rRNA from 1 species